AGCAAAUCCUUCGUGAUGAGCGAGAAAGCAUGUCACGCAUCUCACGUGUUGCCAUGUGAACAGAUGUGCGUGUAGAUGUGUGAGGGCGCGGAGAAAAAUUGAUGGAUGACGAAUGGAGGAAGGGGAGGAGCUUCACUCUGUCGAAGCAUCUGAAGGGGGGCCGAACGCUCUCUUCACAUUUUGCGAAGAAUCAGUUUAACUCAAACGCUUGCCAAAGAGGAUAUACUACUUUGAGGCACUAAAUAUUUCAGGCAAUGGAGUCUUGGUCUAUUAGUAUUAGUAUAAAUUAUUUCCCUUACCCCAUUUAUGAAUUAAUUUAAAGAAAUAAACAUUAAUCUGAGUAAAUUUUCAAAAGUCACUUUUAGCAAAAAACUUUUUCCAAAUGUGUUUUGAAAUUGUGAUCUUGUAAAGACGGUUUUUUCAUACAAUGCGUACUUUUUAAGAUAUUUGGAAAAGUACGGUUCAUAGGGUGCGCGGAUGAUAUACUAGCAAUGCUAUUACAAUGAAAUGCUAUUCCGCUCUAUGAAAUUUUCAGCUGAGCGAUUUGGUCUGUUUACGUUAGAACCGCUCCAUUAUUAUUGCGCCUUUUACGUCCUCACGCGCGAAUUCACAAAUAGUUAAAGUGUUAGGCCCGCUUGUGAUGAACAGUAGAUUCACCUGCUACCAUGUUUCAAUUCUCUGAUUAAAUCGCACGUAAUAAAUAAAUCGAAUAUCUCUCCUUCCAAUUUCAAUUAAAAACACAUAACCACUGCACAUAAGGUAGGAAGAUAGAUGAGAGGAGGAGGAGGAGGAGGAGGGGCUAUAAACACGUACGUAAAUAAAAGGGGGCAGGGCGCGCGUGUGAGCGAGAACGCGGCAGCAUACGAGAGAUUUUUUUCUUUCUCUUUUGUAGCAUUUCGGCUAAACACCCGAGCCUAACUUCGGUAGGAACUGCCUAUCAAAGUUGAUACACCUUCGGUAGAGAACUUCUAUCGAAGGUAUAUCGAAGCAAAUUUACUUCGAAAGAGCACGGUUUGGUUGGUUGGGUUGUUUUGUUGUUGUUCGUACGGCUCAUACCCAACAGUCAAAAGCCGAAGAUUUUAUAUUGACCUUUCACUUUUUCUAUCUGUCUCUCGCUCUAAUUUGAGCGAUUUUCCCCUGAUGAGUGUCCCCGAGCCUCCUCGUGUGGUUGUUGUUGUUGGAAGUUGAAACCGAAACCCCUUCGUGCGCUGCCAAAAUCAGCGACCCAAGUAGCAGAGCCGAAGUUGUUGAGAGAUUUUGCUGUGUGCCAAAGCGAGAGGCCCUGUCUUCUUUCUCUAGAUUUUGGACGGCAAACCGCCGCCCGUGCAGAGGUGUGUGCGUGUGACGAAAAAUUAUGGAUGAAAUACGGGGGAAGCGGGGUUUGACGUCUUUCGUUCGUCACACACACAUGCAUUUACCAGCGGAUAUCGCUGGACCGAGUCUACCCAUCUCUCUCGAUCCACCAUGAUUUUUCUGCUAUCGCGCUCAUCCGAGUGUUAGGCAUCCUCAGUCUGUCCAGAACUUUCCCUGUGGAAGGAUGUACUUAAGUGAGGUGCGAUUUCUUGUGCGACGUAUUUUGCUCAUUUACGUUUUGUGCCGUGUUCCUUCUUCUUCAGUUAUGGAAUGAUUUAUCCUAGCAAAUUGUUGAGGUAAGUUUCUUGCUGUGUACUUGUGCAGGUACAUUCAACUUAGCUUUGGCGUCUAAAAAGUUACAGGUGUGUGCGCUAUUUAUCAACGACUGCAUGCUGACCUCGUCAACAAUCUUCAAAGUGAGCGACGGAAUGAAAACGUUUUCCAGUUUUAAAAUAUUAAGGUAAGUUUUGAUCUAAUCCUCUGCGCUAAACUCUCCAUAGUAAUACAUCCUACUUACAUUCAUUAUUGCUUCAUUCAGCCCCCGGUGAGGACGUCAUUGCUUAACAGAAGCCGGUUCAACACGCGCAGCUCCUGUUCAUGACGUCAUCACUAAAAUGAAGCCAGCUGGACACGCGCAGCACGGAUGGUACCCCGAGCGCGGUAGGAGGAAGGAAGAACGGUAAAUUUGGAAGGGGGAAAGCGUUCUGCCGUGUACACAGCGGGAGUAUGCCAAAACACAUGUGGGAAGGGAGAGAGAUAUUAUUCAAUAAACAGCAUGCGAAUGUGUGCGUAUAGCAAAUGUGAAUAGCUUCAGCAUUUCUAUAAGCAAUCCGAAAAAGGAGGUGGAGCAAACACAUUGGUAUGCGUCAGCGGCUGUAGAAACCAGAACGUUUAGAUGUGUGCGUGAUGGAUGGUUCGGGCGCCUGUGGCGAAGCUCUCGACAAGACUGCGGACGAGAGCUUCGAGGAGAGCUUUGUAGAGAGCCCAGAUUACACAGGCCGCCGUCGGUUUUUGCGUCCUUGGGGAAGAACGAAAUCGAGUGGCUCAAGCAAAAAAACGAAAAAAAAAAUGACGAACGAGUGUCCCAAGUAGCAGAGCCGAAGUUGUUGAGAGGUUUUUCUGUGUGCCAAAGCGAGAGGCCCUGUCUUCUCUCUCUAGAUUUUGGACGGCAAACCGCCGCCCGUGUAGAGGUGUGUGCGUGUGACGAAAAAUUAUGGAUGAAAUACGGGGCAAGCGGGGUUUGAAGUCUUUCGUUCGUCACACACACAUGCAUUUACCAGCGGAUAACGCUGGACCGAGUCUACCCAUCUCUCUCGAUCCAACAUGAUUUUUCUGCUAUCGCGCUCAUCCGGGUGUUAGGCAUCCUCUGUCUGUCCAGAACUUUCCCUAUGGAAGGAUGUACUGAAGUGAGGUGCGAUUUAUUGUGCGACGUACUUUGUUCAUUUACGUUUUGUGCCGUGUUCCUUCUUCCUCAGUUAUGGAAUGAUUUAUCCUAGCAAAUUGUUGAGUUACAGGUGUGUGCGCUAUUUAUCAACGACUGCAUGCUGACCUCGUCAACAAUCUUCAAAGUGAGCGACGGAAUGAAAACGUUUUCCAGUUUUAAAAUAUUAAGGUAAGUUUUGAUCUAAUCCUCUGCGCUAAACUCUCCAUAGUAAUACAUCCUACUUACAUUCAUUAUUGCUUCAUUCAGCCCCCGGUGAGGACGUCAUUGCUUAACAGAAGCCGGUUCAACACGCGCAGCUCCUGUUCAUGACGUCAUCACUAAAAUGAAGCCAGCUGGACACGCGCAGCACGGAUGGUACCCCGAGCGCGGUAGGAGGAAGGAAGAACGGUAAAUUUGGAAGGGGGAAAGCGUUCUGCCGUGUACACAGCGGGAGUAUGCCAAAACACAUGUGGGAAGGGAGAGAGAUAUUAUUCAAUAAACAGCAUGCGAAUGUGUGCGUAUAGCAAAUGUGAAUAGCUUCAGCAUUUCUAUAAGCAAUCCGAAAAAGGAGGUGGAGCAAACACAUUGGUAUGCGUCAGCGGCUGUAGAAACCAGAACGUUUAGAUGUGUGCGUGAUGGAUGGUUCGGGCGCCUGUGGCGAAGCUCUCGACAAGACUGCGGACGAGAGCUUCGAGGAGAGCUUUGUAGAGAGCCCAGAUUACACAGGCCGCCGUCGGUUUUUGCGUCCUUGGGGAAGAACGAAAUCGAGUGGCUCAAGCAAAAAAACGAAAAAAAAAAUGACGAACGAGUGUCCCAAGUAGCAGAGCCGAAGUUGUUGAGAGGUUUUUCUGUGUGCCAAAGCGAGAGGCCCUGUCUUCUCUCUCUAGAUUUUGGACGGCAAACCGCCGCCCGUGUAGAGGUGUGUGCGUGUGACGAAAAAUUAUGGAUGAAAUACGGGGCAAGCGGGGUUUGAAGUCUUUCGUUCGUCACACACACAUGCAUUUACCAGCGGAUAACGCUGGACCGAGUCUACCCAUCUCUCUCGAUCCAACAUGAUUUUUCUGCUAUCGCGCUCAUCCGGGUGUUAGGCAUCCUCAGUCUGUCCAGAACUUUCCCUAUGGAAGGAUGUACUGAAGUGAGGUGCGAUUUAUUGUGCGACGUACUUUGUUCAUUUACGUUUUGUGCCGUGUUCCUUCUUCCUCAGUUAUGGAAUGAUUUAUCCUAGCAAAUUGUUGAGGUAAGUUUCUUGCUGUGUGCUUGUGCAGGUACAUUCAACUAACCCUUGGCGUCUAAAAAGUUACAGGUGUGUGCGCUAUUUAUCAACGACUACCUGCUGGCGUCGUCAACAAUCUUCAAAGGAGCGACGGAAAGAAAACGUUUUCUAGUUUUAAAAUAUUAAGGUAAGUUUUGAUCUAAUCCCAAGCGCUAAACUCUCCAUAGUAAUACAUACUACAUACAUUCAUUAUUGCUUCAUUCAGCCCCCGGUGAGGACGUCAUUACUUAACAGAAGCCGGUUCAACACGCGCAGUUCCUGUUCAUGACGUCAUCACUAAACUCAAGCCAGCUGAACACGCGCAGCACGGAUGGUACCCCGAGCGCAGUAGGAGGAAGGAAGAACGAGAGGAGGAAGAACGGUAAAUUUGGAAGGGGGAAAGCGUUCUGCCGUCUACACAGCGGGAGUAUGCCAAAACACAUGUGGGAAGGGAGAGGGAUAUUAUUCAAUAAACAGCAUGCGAAUGUGUGCAUAAAGCAAA